AUGUAGGCUCUGAUACCAUGAAAACAUGCAAGAAACCAUAGAAAUUUAGAGAGAGAAAGUAGAGAGAAGGAGGAGAGUUUCGGAAGAGUCUCGAAGAAUUGACCAGAUAUUAUUUCACCAAAAUGACCCCUCGGUCUAUUUUACAAACGACCCUUCAACAUAUAUACAAACUGACCCUAUUACACAAAUAGCCUAUUACAUAGAUAGCCUUUUACAGAAUAGCCUAUUACACAAAUAGCCUAUUAGGCUCAGAUAUGACUCCCUCAUUGACUCAUAAUGGUCUAUGUAUGGGGUUUAUCAUCAUUGCCCUACAUAUAUCUCAACA
rnacentral:lncRNA from 1 species